UGGAAACAUUAAGAGACCACUGCAGAAUUUUCUGGAUUUGGCUGUGUGGCAUGGAGAAUUGACCCGCUGGAAAUUGGGGAACAUUGUCAGAGCAGAAGGAAGCAAGUUUUCUUCCAGGAUAACCUUGUAUGUGGCUUGAUUCAUGCAUCCUUCACUAAGAUGAAUCUGCCCGAUUCCAGCCUUGCUGAAGCACCCGCAGAUCAUCACCAAUUGUCCACCAAAUUUCACAGUGGGCGCGAGACACUGUGGCUUGAAGGCAUCUCCAGGUCUCCGUCUAAUCAUGAGAUGACCAGGUGGACAAGCGCUGAUGAUCUGGGGGUGCUUCAGCAAGUCUUGAAUCUAUCAAGGAGGUCUAUAAUACCUGCAAAAAUAUAUAUCUCGUAAUAUUUGUGAUUUUAAAUUUUGCUUGCAAUACAUUUAGUUUUGUCAGGGCACACGGAUGUGCUGCGUUUCAUUCAAGUUGGAUGCUCCAGUUAGCUUAGCAGGGGUUUGACUCUCAUUAGAGAUGUCUCCUAGCGACCCAACUGAUAAACAAUGCUGCAGCGCUAGGUCUCCUAGCGACCCAACUGAUAGACAGUGCUGCAGCGCUAGGUCUCCUAGCGACCCAACUGAUAAACAAUGCUGCAGCGCUAGGUCUCCUAGCGACCCAACUGAUAGACAGUGCUGCAGCGCUAGGUCUCCUAGCGACCCAACUGAUAGACAGUGCUGCAGCGCUAGGUCUCCUAGCGACCCAACUGAUAGACAGUGCUGCAGCGCUAGGUCUCCUAGCGACCCAACUGAUAAACAAUGCUGCAGCGCUAGGUCUCCUAGCGACCCAACUGAUAGACAGUGCUGCAGCGCUAGGUCUCCUAGCGACCCAACUGAUAGACAGUGCUGCAGCGCUAGGUCUCCUAGCGACCCAACUGAUAGACAGUGCUGCAGCGCUAGGUCUCCUAGCGACCUAACUGAUAGACAGUGCUGCAGCGCUAGGUCUCCUAGCGACCCAACUGGUAAACAACGCUGCUAGCGCUAUGUCUCCUAGCGACCCAACUGAUUGACAAUGCUGCAGCGCUAGGUCUCCUAGUGACCCAACUGAUAAACAAUGCUGCAGCGCUAGGUCUCCUAGCGACCCAACUGAUCGACAAUGCUGCAGCGCUAGGUCUCCUAGCGACCCAACUGAUAAACAAUGCUGCAGCGCUAGGUCUCCUAGCGACCCAACUGAUAGACAGUGCUGCAACGCUAGGUCUCCUAGCGACCCAACUGAUAGACAGUGCUGCAGCGCUAGGUCUCCUAGCGACCCAACUGAUAGACAGUGCUGCAACGCUAGGUCUCCUAGCGACCCAACUGAUAAACAAUGCUGCAGCGCUAGGUCUCCUAGCGACCCAACUGAUAAACAAUGCUACAAGCGCUAGGUCUCCUAGUGACCCAAAUGAUAAACAACGCUGCAGCGCUAUGUCUCCUAGCGACCCAACUGAUUGACAAUGCUGCAGCGCUAGGUUUCCUAGCGACCCAACUGAUAAACAAUGCUACAAGCGCUAGGUCUCCUAGUGACCCAAAUGAUAAACAACGCUGCAGCGCUAGGUCUCCUAGCAACCCAACUGAUAAACAAUGCUGCAAGCGCUAGGUCUCCUAGUGACCCAACUGAUAAACAACGCUGCAGCGCUAGGUCUCCUAACGACCCAACUGAUAAACAACGCUGCAAGUGCCAUGUCUCCUAGCGACCCAACUGAUAAACUGGAAACUCAUUUAUCAAUAUUACUUAAUAAAGUACUUGAUAAACAUUCACUUUAUUAUCUCCCGGAGUUUCGACAUGUUUGUGUGACAUCAUUCACCUGCAUCUCGGCGAGAGUUGUGAAUUUCUGCUCGAGUCUACAAGUUGUAAUUCUGACUUCAAGAUGCAUCCAUUGCACUUUUACUAGUGGGAAGUUGUAAAAUCCGACUUCCCAAGUUGAAUGGAGCGCAGCACAACUUUUCAAAACUUGAUCUGAUACUGAAUGCCCCAGCAGCUUAAUUUACACUUUCCAAUUUACUUGAAGUGAAAAUCAGUCCUCCUUUCCUGAUUAAUAAAUGAAUCAAUCACACAGUCAUGCAGAACAUCUUGUGUUGUUAAAUCUAUAAGGAUCUCAUUCUCAACGGCGAUGACAGCAGUGAUGACAGCCGACUCAUCCGCAAGAUCUCGCACUCUCUUUCGAUUUACAUACGUCACUUAAAGCGUGAUUGCGUCACUCAAGGCCAGCUAGAAGGCCUCAACAGGGACAUAUCAUAAAGACCACACCCACCAAGAACAAAUAAACCAAUUUGAUUGGCUGAUGAAUCUGACUUUAGUUGCUCGUUCAUUUGGGCUGAUGGGGUGGAGCUCAGACUCACCGGCUGCUUCAGUCAUGUGACGUGUCAGUUGUCACACUUCAAAAGUUUGUCCAGUCAGAAUUUAUUCCUUGAUGCUUAAAAUUGGUCUCUUAAUUUUGUCCAGAGCUGUAUAUAUUAGAGGUGUAAACAAAUAUUGUAUCGUACAAUACGACGCUCACUAUAAAAUACCAAAUGUUUCGUAUGAUGUAUAAAAAUAAACAUUACGGUGUAAUUAAAAUCAAGCAUCACGACAUGAGCGAGGUGGAUCAGUCUCCUCCUCCCUCACAGGAAAUCAGAGCAACACACUUCCAGCACAUACACGAGAACAUCGAUGGCAAACGCCACCUGUAGCGCUUCAGCUUGUUGAAUUGUGUCCUGUCCCGGUGCUACAGCACAUCAAAUAUGUCGUUUAAUUCACGCCGACGUCACUGCACAAAUCAGUGGAUCUGUGAGACAGAAACCGUAAGUUUAACAGCCAGACACUCUUAAGUUAUGAGUCAUAACGAUCAAAAAAACCCGUGGAUUCUGGUUGCCCUCUUGCCCCAUUCCCCGGACAAUGUGUGCAGUUCACCUGUUCAGGGGUUUUGUGGGGGAACUCCGCUUCAAACGGACAUACCCAAAUCUGAAGACUCCUCUUUCCACAUACAGUGAAGAAAAUGUAACAUUUUGGUCUCAUUUUAAAGGAAACUUAAUUAUUGUAUAACUAAUAAUUAUCAGUAAUCAAUAAUUGUUAUUGUACGUGUUCAAACUACUAUAAUAAACACAAAUAAAUAGAUGCUUUUUGUCUUUGAAGGUGCAUAACUCAAGCCCUGUGUGCUCUUUUUAUAUAUGACAACAGCACUUACAAGGAUUCCCACACAAACAUAUGAGUAAUUAGAUGUUUUUAUUUAUUAGGGCUGUUAAUUUAGUGCGGUUCAUUUGAUAAAAAUUAAAGAAAUUAAAGAUUCCUGAGAAAUGCAAGCUUGUAGUACCACCUGUUUACUCCAGGGGGCAGUAAGUGAAACUUCAGCUGUAUGAGCAACACACAGUUUAUACAGUGAACAAACACUUCAGCAGAACAACACAAACAUGUGUUACAUUCUUGCGUUCAAAACAUUUGAUGGAGCACAAAUCUGAUCUAAGAGAUCUCGAGAUGUGUUUAAAGAUUGAGUAUUAAACUAUAUUUAACUCGACACAGUGAACUAUAAAUGUAUGUUUAUGACGCAACACACCCGAGACGCUACACAAGCAUGUCUGACGCAGGUGUACAUUGACGGGUCCUUAAACAAGCCCUCAUAAUAAAUCUCUGAUUGACAAAUUCACUGUGAGCCAAUGACUUAUGGUCAAUAAUAUGACAAAUAUUUGAAUAUGCUAUUAAUGAAUCGGGACACCAUGUAAUUUAAUCGAUUGACAGCUCUAUUAUUUCUUUAUAAAUCUCUUUUUUUUUUUUUUGCAUUUUGCUGCAUGUUUUGCUUUUUUGGAGCCACAUUGAGGUAAAUAAUAAAGUUUGCGUGUGCUUCGGCGAUACGAAGUGCGUUUCACAUGAGCGAACGUUACAGGCCUCAUGUUGACGCCCCAUUGCGCACAGAUCUCCAGCUCUGAUUGGUUGGGAGAGAAAGAUUGACAUGUGAUGUGUGUCUCGUCAUUCUCUGUGGACGAUACCAGAUUUUCGAUGCCGCUUUUAUGAAAUGACGACCUACAUUCUGCACUGCGGAGUUUCCAAACAUAAAAGCUCUCCUCGGCGAACAUUUGAUCGGUUUUAUUCCAACAAAAUAAAAUGACAAUCUGGAGACGGAGAGCUUGUGUUUGAGAUAUGGCUCAUCUAUGCUCCAUCAGGACAUAUAAGAUUUAAGAACAGGUUCAUCAAUCGAAACUCAACAGCAACUUAUGAUCCACCGUCACGGUCCGGCUAUGAUAGACGUCCAGAGAUGAAGCACAGUGCGUUACAGAAAGGUUAGCAUUAUUAUGCUAACAGAUGUGACUGAAAGUUUGUUGAUUUCUAUUCAGUGAUGGCCUUUGUGAACGCUUCCCGCGUUUUGAAUUCGCAUUAUUACGGAGUAUAAAAAUGAACGUCUGCGAGUGUGACGAGGUUUUCAACCUGUGCUGCUUAAUCGAUCAAUUAUACAGUCGUGAGAUGUUUUAUCACGUCUGAUUUUAAUUGCAUUAUAUCGAUAUCAUAUUUUUUGCAUGGGGGGCGCGUGGUCAUGUGUCAGUCUGCGGGAGAGAGCGCGUUAAGGAUCGUCACCUGUGUAUAAUUCUAGUGAUGUCAGAGGGAGACCUGAAAAUGCACGCCAGAGUGUCGACAGCCUAAA